rnacentral:rRNA from 1 species
AACGAACGCUGGCGGCAGGCCUAAAACAUGCAAGUCGAACGAACCUUCGGGUUAGUGGCGCACGGGUGCGUAACGCGUGGGAAUAUACCUCUGGGUGCGGAACAACGUCUGGAAACGGACGCUAAUACCGCAUAAUAUCUACGGAUCAAAGAUUUAUCGCCCAGAGAUUAGCCCGCGUCUGAUUAGCUAGUUGGUGAGGUAAUGGCUCACCAAGGCGACGAUCAGUAGCUGGUCUGAGAGGAUGAUCAGCCACACUGGAACUGAGACACGGUCAGACUCCUACGGGAGGCAGCAGUUGGGAAUAUUGGACAAUGGGGGAAACCCUGAUCCAGCCAUGCCGCGUGAGUGAAGAAGGCCUUAGGGUUGUAAAGCUCUUUCGGCUGUGAAGAUAAUGACAGUAGCAGAAGAAGAAGCUCCGGCUAAAUUCGUGCCAGCAGCCGCGGUAA